rnacentral:lncRNA from 1 species
UUUAUGACUUGUGGUUUAGAGGUUUAUUUGUGAUGGAUUUAUUUAUCUAAAAUGGUAUGAACGAUAAAUUUAUAUGUUUGGGCUUUGGAGGGUUGUAAAUGAUAUUUUAAAUUUUGCAGAGGCAUUGCAUAAUAGUUUGAAGUCUCCGUAGAAGUUUACAUUUAAAAAUGUAGUAAUAUUAAGGCUGCAACUUUUUGGGUUCUAAUUUUACAACCCCUCACCGACCGUUCCUAAAGCAAGUGCCAAAGGGCUUGGUGGUUGAUACCCGAGACCCAAGUUCGAAUUCUAGUUAAUUCACAUUUCCAGCUAAGUUUAUUUCUAAAUAAAAUAAACGAAGCGGGUAGCGUGUUACCUAUCUCUCAAAAAAAAACAAAAAAAAAAAAAAUUUACAACCCCUCUCAUUCAAAGUCAUUCUUUUUUCUACUCAUCUUAUUAUUUUAUUUUUUCUAACUAAAUUUUUUUUAAAAAUGUAAAUUUUAUAACUUUUUCCAUAAGAAAUUGUACAAUUUCUUUGGAUCGUAGACUUAGUGUUUUUUAUAUUAUAAAUUAUAGAAAAUUUUUCUAUAAAUAUUCUCUUUUUUUUUUACUUUUUUCCCAUGACUUCAAAAACCUACAUUUUUACCCUCUUAAAAUUUUAAAAAUAUUUUCAGAAAAGUGCGGUGCCAAUGGAAAGGGGAAAAUGACCAAAUUAUUCUUACUUCUUUUUAAGAAAAAAAAAUGUUAAUAUAUUGCUGUUAUUUUGAAGGAUAUUUUUAGUAUAAAUUAUAAGAAAUUGACGGAAUAGUGAUGGAAUCCUCAUGGAAGAGACUAAAUGCAACAAAUUGAAAUAUUGAGAGACUGAGCUAUAGAUUUUUAAAAAUUAAAAAAAUAAAAUAAAUUUAUAAGAAAUUUUUUUGUAAUUUAAUCUAUAAUAAAUAUUAGGAUUAGUUUCAUACAGGUUCUUGCAAAUAUAGUGAAUGGCAAAUAUAUUCCUACAAAGUUCGAUUUUCAUAUGUUAUUUCUACAAAAGUUCUAAUGUUUUCAAAAAUAUCCCUCUGCUUUGUUACUGGUAGAGAACCGUUAGAGAAUUAUUUAUAUUUUUAAUUUUGCCAUCACAAAUAUAUCUCUCUAAAAAGUAUAACAGUAUAAUAUAAAAGGGGUAAAAAUAUCAAAAACUAACUUGGAUUAAGUAUUUAACCUAUAGUUAACUAAUUUUUCUAACGGAUUCUAACGACAGAGUCAUAUUUAAAAAUAUCAGAACUUUUACAGAAAAACAUAUGAAAGUUAAAUUUUAUAAAAAUAUAUUCGUUAUUCAUUAUAUUUGUAGGAAUCUGUAUAAAAUUAAGGGAAAACUUCAAAAAACCUCUCUGUGGUUUCGUAGUUUCUCACUUUGCCCCCCUGUGGUUUAAAAUGUAUCAAAUUACCCCCCUGUGGUUUCGUUUUUAUCUUUUCGGUAACUUUUUCGUUAAUAUUUCAUUAAAUUAUAUACAAAAAACUUCAGAUACCCAUCUAGAUUUAUCAAAUAUUCACUUUAGUACCCUUUAAUUUUAACUUUAUUACUGAUUUAAGAAAAAAAAAUAAUGAAAUUGAUAAGAAAAAGAGAAAAAAAAAUCACAGACGGACAAAUUGAUACAUUUUAAACCACAGGGGGACAAAGUAAGAAACUACGAAACCAUAGGGAGAGUUUUUGAAGUUUUUCCUAAAAUUAA